GAUGAAGAACGUAGCGAAAUGCGAUAAGUAAUGUGAAUUGCAGAAUUCAGUGAAUCAUCGAAUCUUUGAACGCAUCUUGCGCUCCUUGGUAUUCCUUGGAGCAUGCCUGUUUGAGUAUCAUGAGCAAAUCUCAAAGUCAAUUCCUUUUGUUGAUUCAAUUGGUUUUGCUUUGGACUUGGAGGCCUUUCAGAUUUCACAGUCUGCUCCUCUUAAAUGCAUUAGCUGGAUCUCAGUAAUUAUGCUUGGUUCCACUCGGCGUGAUAAGUAUCACUCGCUGAGGACACUGUUAAAAAGGUGGCCAGGAAAAUACUGAUUGAACCGCUUCUAACGGUCUAUUAAGUUAGACAAUUACCCUUAAGUUUGAUCUCAAAUCAGGUAGGACUACCCGCUGAACUUAAGCAUAUCAAUAAGCGGAGGA
rnacentral:misc_RNA from 1 species